ACACUUAAAUUAAACUUUUCGUAAGUUCCUGUUUACGUCCAACACGUGGUACUACUUAACUUAGUAAUUGAGGAGAACUUAUAAGCAAGACAUACUUAUCCAAUCCAGAUCGCAGUCGCCGAAUAUUUCCUCUAUCAGAAAAUGGCAAGAUCCAAAGAACAAGGACGAAAACAAAAAACAAAAAAGGCAAAUAAAGCUGGAGGUGUCAACAAGGCAAAGGCAAAAGCAGUUAAAACCAAUUUAAAGCAUAUAAAUUUGAAUAAUAAAUCAAAAACAGAAGAGGCUAAUAAAAAGUUUGACGAAAUGAGAGAAGAAAUGAUAGGCGAUGUAAAAAAAGAACAGAAAACAGUGAAGAAUACACAGCAGAAAAAGACCUCCAGUUUAAAUUCAAGUGUCAGUAUGGAAGAUACAACAACAGAGUUUGCAAAAUUAGGAUCUGAUGCUACAUGAAGAAGCUGUAUGAUUGAUGAAUUACAUAGCAAAUCAACAUUUUAAAGACGGAUUAUUUGGUUUUCUGAUUGAACAAUAUAUCCAACAUUAUAACAAAAUACAUUAGCUUACAUAAAUUGAAAUAUAAAAUAAUUUUUUUGUUACUUACAUGUUAAUGUAUGUCUAGAUUCUGGAAUUUCUUCAUGUAUUUACUAUUGCUAUUGUUGAAAAAUGAACAAAAAUGUUUAAUUGAAUAUUACGAUUUUAGGAAAAGUCGUAUACAAAUGAUGGUAUCAAAGUUUAAAAAUGCGAAUCUUUAUUUUGAAAAACCUUAACCUAAUGCAAUUUUUGCAGUGAUAAAAACCUGAUAAAAAAUCUAUGACAGGUGUGUAUAUAUUUUGUAAUUGCUUUUCGAUUAUAUAAUUUAGCUUCAACCUUUAAUUUAUUUUAUAAAAAUAGGAGAUGUAGUAUGAUUGACAAUCAACUAUCCAUUCAAGAUCAAAGGACAAAGAAGUAAACAAUUUUGUUCAUUGAUUUAACAUAUUGUGGAGCAUUCAAUUUUCUUAUAAAUCUAAAAGCUAAAAAUAAGAAAUCUCAUUUAGUGUAAUAUAUGGGCUUUUCAAACAUUUAUUUGAAACCAUAUUUUUGAAUUUGAUACUUGAUCAAGUUUAUAUGAGCCAAAACUUAAAUAAUGUAAGAAAAUGGACGCGAACCAGCUAAGAAGACCUUAUAUAUAUCUUUUCAACUUUUUUCUUCAGGAUGGUCAAGGCCCUUUAAACUGAAUUUUGGACGAUUUUUAAUUUGCAAAGUGACACUUUAAGCUCUCCUUAAAUUUCGAAGAUGGAAUGUUACUGUGAAAUCUUUUUGAUAUUACUGCAUCUGUAUAUAGUCUAAUUGUUAGCCAAAUGUUUUUGACAUUGAAAUACCAGGAUUUAUGCGGUCUCCGGUACACGUUUGCAAUAUAUUUUGAAUAUCAAAUUGGCUUUUUGAGUCCUCCGUACAUAUGAAAGACAAUAAGUUUCGAUAAAUUCCACUGGUUGACAUAAGUAUCUAACUAUCUAUAUGUUAGCUAACUCUGUGCAUAAUGUUAUGAAGAUCGAAUUAUCAGGAUGGUCUAGGCAAUGCCCUGGGCCCUUUUACCUGAAUUUUUGACGAUUUUUGUAAAGUGAGACUUUAAGCCCUCCUUACAUAUCAAACUGGCACUUUGAGUCAUAUGUACGUAUGGAAGACAAAAACAAAUGUUUCGAAAAAGGCCUUUUUUUGUUUUUAUUAGUUACAUCUGUUCAUAUUUUCACAUGUUAUUGGAGUGUCCGUUCGUUAUCGUAUAUUAGAAUAUCAUGUUUUUAAAAGAUUGCAUUUUCCUGACAAAAAUCAAUAAAUUUUAAAAAGAAAAUUGA